CACAACUCGAUUUAAAAUAAAACCCAGAUCAACAAAUCCUUGAUUAGCUCUAAACUUUGCUUAAAUUAAUCCUUGUUGGUGCAACUCACCCUUUGUGUGCUUUUUUCGUAUUGUCAAACGGCGAGGAUGAGAUCCAGCGGCCUUCACUAACAUGACGCAGUUUGACAUUUUCACCGUAACAGUCAUCUGACAGAUGGACGGAUGGGUGCUAAGCCAAAGGGCAGUUCCUGAAGACAGAUGUUGCGACAACCUCUGGAAUGUCAGUCUGUCAGUUCCAGUUCCACCAGCCACACUAGACUCUGCUGUAUGUGGAGGCCCUUAUGUGUGUACUUUUCAUUAUUGUGCAUGCAGAUAUUAUUCAGGUACGUGAACGCUUGACUAUUGCAUGAAUAAUGAAUGUGCCAUCUUUGAAUGUACCAGCAUUUUAAUUGGUUAAUUGCAGUUGAAAUAAAAAAUGAAUUAGAAAUCCCC
rnacentral:lncRNA from 1 species